rnacentral:rRNA from 1 species
GACAGAGGGUGCAAACGUUGUUCGGAAUUACUGGGCGUAAAGCGCGUGUAGGCGGCUUGGCAAGUCGGGUGUGAAAGCCCUGGGCUCAACCUAGGAAGUGCACUCGAAACUGCGGAGCUGGAGUCCUGGAGAGGAAGGCGGAAUUCUCGGUGUAGAGGUGAAAUUCGUAGAUAUCGAGAGGAACACCGGUGGCGAAGGCGGCCUUCUGGACAGUGAC